rnacentral:rRNA from 1 species
AUUGAACGCUGGCGGCAGGCUUAACACAUGCAAGUCGAGCGGGGGAAGGUAGCUUGCUACCGGACCUAGCGGCGGACGGGUGAGUAAUGCUUAGGAAUCUGCCUAUUAGUGGGGGACAACAUCUCGAAAGGGAUGCUAAUACCGCAUACGUCCUACGGGAGAAAGCAGGGGAUCUUCGGACCUUGCGCUAAUAGAUGAGACUAAGUCGGAUUAGCUAGUUGGUGGGGUAAAGGCCUACCAAGGCGACGAUCUGUAGCGGGUCUGAGAGGAUGAUCCGCCACACUGGGACUGAGACACGGCCCAGACUCCUACGGGAGGCAGCAGUGGGGAAUAUUGGACAAUGGGGGGAACCCUGAUCCAGCCAUGCCGCGUGUGUGAAGAAGGCCUUAUGGUUGUAAAGCACUUUAAGCGAGGAGGAGGCUACUUUAGUUAAUACCUAGAGAUAGUGGACGUUACUCGCAGAAUAAGCACCGGCUAACUCUGUGCCAGCCGCCGCGGUAAAAC